CUGCAUGGGGAAAGCUGUAGCACCUCCUACAAGAGACCUUAGCACCGUGUGCCAAAAGCCAAAACCACACGUGGCAAAUAGCCUCCUUCUUUGAUGGCAGAUACUGGGUUAUCUUGCAACGGACCUGCACUGAUGGCCCCAAUGGGCCAUCGCUCACCUGUCAGCCCAGAGCUCCAGAAGCUUUUCUGGGGAGGACCUCGGAAACAAAACUGCAGAGGGUUCUUUCUGCAUGGCACCUAUGUCCUCCAACGUCACGAGCUAGCGAGGGGGAGAGAGAGAGAGAGAGAGAGAGCCAAAGCUUCCAUCUGCUUGCCCCUGUUGCAGGCCAAGGGCAAGAGGCCUCAGAUGCUGUGUCUGUAUGAGGCCAGCUCUACGGAUACUCAGUAGAUGCAGUGAGUGAGUGGCUCAUAGUCUUCUUCUGAAGCAAAGAACCUUCCCCCCCACAAUCCACUGGUCCAGAGAGUCCCGCUCAACAUGGGCAUCCCACUAAGCGUGGGAGGUCAUCCUUUAUUUGCAUGCUCUCUGAGAACCACCAGGAAGGUGCAGAACCCGGAGGGAACUGAAGGACGUUCCCUGGGUGGCGGUGACUGCGUGUUCCCCAAGGGCCCAUAGUAAGACAGGAAGACACGUUUGCCUGCUCUGGAGCCUCCGGCUAAAGGAUGAGUGAAGAUACUCUGGAUUCCACAUGGCACACACCUCUCUUCAGGGCCGAGGUGUGGAAGCUUGGCCCCUGUAGGGACAAUGGAAGCGGAGGGCCUGAACCUACUGUCCUCAGGCAACAGGGUUGGGAAGCGCCAGAGGUCUGUCUGCCUGGUUCCUGGAGAGCCAGACCCAGAAGCUGUGCUCUUGAGCAAGAUGAGAAGCAAUUUCACACUACGAGGAGGUGCCUGGUCUGGGUCCUUCUGGGCAGGUCGUUCCCUUGUCCACGGUCAGUCUGAGGCCACUGCAGUAUGCGGCACUACUGCUUUGUGGUCGCUUCAGGCCCUGUCUCCUCUCCUGUGGGAAGGGAAAGGACAUCCGCCCCUACUGCCUUUGGUGAGACGCAUUGUGAGUGAAGGUCUGGUGGGUCAAACAUCUGCCCGCAUGCCGGUGUUCAACCGGGUGUUGAAGGCAGCGGUUCCUCUGCGUGAGCAUCUGGCCAGAAACGGCCAAGGCCAAGCGCCGAAGUUGGGGAAUUGCCCCACUCCCACGUUGUGAAGUGAGGUGACGGAUGGUGACGGUCGUGCCCAAGGACCCGGCCAGCAGCGCUUCCGCGGGCGUUCGCUCUUCACUCAGCAAAGUGAUGUCCAGGAGCUGUGGUGCAGCAAGAUGCGGGCGAGACUCUUUGCAGGCAGGUGCGUCCCUGUCAUGCAUUUUCCCAAGCUCAGGAGGGAAGGAGGAAAGAUACUUUGCCUUUGCGUGGAGCCACGUUUGAGAGGCCUCAGGGCCUUUGCCCACCUCAGGGCCAGCCCAGCAGGAAGUUCACAGGGGACACAGGGAGUGGUCCUCCAACCUCUGAAAAGAAAGAGGCUCUCUGGGAAAGCCUGUUGUCUCAAGAUGGCUCUGGGUGAUGCCUGCUCCAAGGACACACUGGAGAUGAUCCCUGAUUGACAGCUUCUCUGAGGAUGUGGAGGUGCUCACUCUCGCCCCCCUGAGGAAGCUGUAGGAACUCACCGGUGUGGCAGUUUCUACCACAUCCCGCCACCCCACCCCCCAGCACCCUUUAGGCUCCCAGGAUUGGCUGCUCCAGAGGUGCAGAAGAUGUCCUGGCCAAAGAGGAUCCUCUUCAGGGUCACCGCAUCCUAAAGGCGAUUCCCUGCUCCUGGCCUGAUCUCUGGACGCUGCUCUGCUUCCACUGGAGUCCCUGUGGUCACUGGGCACCUCAUUCUCCCAACGGUGACAUGUGGACAGUGUGUUCAAGGUCCCGUGCAACAGGUCUUGUGCCCAGCUCCGCUAUAGCCACUUGAACCAAAGAGUUCAGAGACAGCAUCGGCUCAUCUUGGCUUUCACGAUCCAGGAUUUGUGACAUUCCAGAGGUCAGGGGGGGUCCUAAAGGUCGUACGUAGUAGUUUCUCCACCAGGGACGUGUGGAAGCUUAUGUACUUUCACUGCAUAUAGCCCCACCCCCAGCUUCUUUGUGGCCGCUGAAUCCUAAGAAUUCAUGAAGAUCUCCUGUAUCUGUGCUGGUUGACUUUGCUCGUCCAAGCUACCUUUCGUUUGGUAUUUGGAAUCCUUGUUCUGGUAGUGUCCUUGAAAUGGGUCUUCUGAAUUUGAUGUUUUGCCCUCUUGUCGUGAGCUGAUCCCUUUUUGCUUGGCUGAUCAGGAGCACAUCUGAUGUCUUUCUCGUAAGUGGAAUGUUGCAGCCAAAUUGUGUGGUUUGACAUAUUGAGAUUCUGAUGGCGAGUGAUGAAGAGUAUAGUUUUCUCAAACUUCAGCACCGAGGGAGUCCUUGGAGGGCUGCUCGCAGAACCGCACUGCAUCCACUCUCAUUUCCGAGCCUCACCGAAUGGGGAAUGCAGAAGAGUGUGACCCUCUAGCAAGAAAGGAACCGAGCCUCCAAAAGAAAUAACUUUGUUGGGGCCACGGGAACACUUGUGGCAGAGGUCAGCGAGGAACAUAAGCGUGAGCCCAGGGUGUGCUCUUGAGUACGGCGAGGAGAAGGUCUCAUGCCUGCUAGAGAUCCGUGACCCGUUAUCCUUCUGGGCAAAGAGACAUUUUAUCCAUGGUCCAUCUGAGUCCACGGUGGUAAGCAGCCUCUGCUGUUCCGCGGUAAUCUCACGCGUGUCUCUCUUCCUCUUGGGGCAGAUGUCCACAUGCAUUGUGUGUACCAUGAGUUCCAAAGUGUUUGGCGUGAAGGUGCUGUGGGUCAACCAGGGCCUCAAAGGGUGGGUUGCUCUGCAUGUGGAAAGCUGUAGCACCUCCUACAAGAGACCUUAGCACCGUGUGCCAAAAGCCAAAACCACAAGUGGCACAUAGCCACCUCCUUCGAUAGCAGAGGCUGGGUUUUCUUGCAAAGGAACUGCCCAGAUGGCCCCUGCGGGCCAUCGCUCACCUGUCAGCCCAGAGCUCCAGAAGCUUUGCUGGGGAGGACCUCGGAAGCAGAACUGCAGAGGGUUCUUUCUGCAUGGCACUUAUGUCCUCCAACGUCACAAGCUAGCGAGGAGGAGAGAGAGAGAGAGACAGAGAGAGAGCCAAAGCUUCCGUCUGCUUGCCCCUGUUGCAGGCCAAGGGCAAGAGGCCUCAGAUGCAGUGUCUGUAUGAGGCCAGCUCUGCGGAUACUCAGUGCAGAUGCAGUGAGUGAGUGGCUCGUAGUCUUCUUCUGAAGCAAAGAAGCUUUUCCCCGACAAUCCACUGGUCCAGAGAGUCCCGCUCAACAUGGGCAUCCCACUAAGCGUGGGAGGUCAUCCUUUAUUUGCAUGUUCUCUGAGAACCACCAGGAGGGUGCAGAACCCGGAGGGAACUGAAAGACGUUCCCUGGGUGGCGGUGACUGCGUUCUCCCCGAGGGCCCAUAGAAAGACAGGAAGACACGUUUGCCUCCUCUGGAGCCUCCGGCUAAAGGAUGAGUGAAGAUACUCUGGAUUCCACAUGGCACACACCUCUCUUCAGGGCCGAGGUGUGGAAGCUUGGCCCCUGUAGGGACAUUGGAAGCGGAGGGCCUGAACCAACUGUCCUCAGGCAACAGGGUUGGGAAGCGCCAGAGGUCUGUCUGCCUGGUUCCUGGAGAGCCAGACCCAGAAGCUGUGCUCUUGAGCAAGAUGAGAAGCAAUUUCACACUACGAGGAGGUGCCUGGUCUGGGUCCUUCUGGGCAGGUCGUUCCCUUGUCCACGGUCAGUCUGAGGCCACUGCAGUAUGCGGCACUACUGCUUUGUGGUCGCUUCAGGCCCUGUCUCCUCUCCUGUGGGAAGGGAAAGGACAUCCGCCCCUACUGCCUUUGGUGAGACGCAUUGUGAGUGAAGGUCUGGUGGGUCAAACAUCUGCCCGCAUGCCGGUGUUCAACCGGGUGUUGAAGGCAGCGGUUCCUCUGCGUGAGCAUCUGGCCAGAAACGGCCAAGGCCAAGCGCCGAAGUUGGGGAAUUGCCCCACUCCCACGUUGUGAAGUGAGGUGACGGAUGGUGACGGUCGUGCCCAAGGACCCGGCCAGCAGCGCUUCCGCGGGCGUUCGCUCUUCACUCAGCAAAGUGAUGUCCAGGAGCUGUGGUGCAGCAAGAUGCGGGCGAGACUCUUUGCAGGCAGGUGCGUCCCUGUCAUGCAUUUUCCCAAGCUCAGGAGGGAAGGAGGAAAGAUACUUUGCCUUUGCGUGGAGCCACGUUUGAGAGGCCUCAGGGCCUUUGCCCACCUCAGGGCCAGCCCAGCAGGAAGUUCACAGGGGACACAGGGAGUGGUCCUCCAACCUCUGAAAAGAAAGAGGCUCUCCGGGAAAGCCUGUUGUCUCAAGAUGGCUCUGGGUGAUGCCUGCUCCAAGGACACACUGGAGAUGAUCCCUGAUUGACAGCUUCUCUGAGGAUGUGGAGGUGCUCACUCUCGCCCCCCUGAGGAAGCUGUAGGAACUCACCGGUGUGGCAGUUUCUAAAGCACCCCACCACCCCCACCGCCCCAAGCACCCUUUCGGCUCCCAGGAUUGGCUGCUCCAGAGGUGCAGAAGAUGUCCUGGCCAAAGAGGAUCUUCUUCGGGGUCACCGCAUCCUAUAGGCAAUUCCCUGCUCCUGGCCUGAUUUCUGGACACUGCUCUGCUUCAAUUUGAGUCCCUGUGGUCACUGGGCACCUCGUUCUCCUAAUGGUGACAUGUGGACAGUGUGUUCAUGGUCCUGUGCAGCGUGUCGCAUGUCUGGCUCUUCUAUAGAUGCUUGAACCAAUGAGUUCAUCGUUAGCGUCCACUCUCCUUUUCUUUUGGGAUCCAUAAUCUUUUAUUGUUAUGCAUUUGGAAUUCUAAUUUUAAUGCGUUGAAAUAUUUCCACAUCUUGACUAUAUUUGGAGAAAAUGCUUAUGGAGUUAAUUUUGUGGAAGUGAUAUCAUAUCCAUGGAGCCUUAAUAUGAUAGGAAUUUUUUUCCCUAAAAGGAAUUUUUCAGGUGUACCUGUUUGGCCCACUGGCCAGCUCAUGUGGCUCUUUAUCUGGUGUAUGAGUUAGUGCCCUAGUGGGCAUAGAGUAAUUAAAUAUAAGUAAAUAAAUAUUAUUUUAAAAAGAAGUGGAAGAGACACCAGAGAUCUCUGUGCAUGUAUAUACAGAGGAAACCUAUUACGUGCACAUAUGGGGAAGACCGCAUUCUCCAUGCCAGCAAGAGAGGCUUGUCUAAAUGCUGACGCUACUGGUUCUUUGAUUUUGGACAUAUACCAGCAGAAUUGUAAGAAAAUAAAUUUCUGUUUAUACGA